rnacentral:misc_RNA from 1 species
GAAAUGCGAUACUUGGGGCCGAGGGCACGCCUGCCUGGGUGUCACACAUCGUUUCCCCAACGCAAACAUGUAACAAUGUUGCUGCGCGGGGUGUAUGCUGACCUCCCGCGAGCACCCGCCUCGUGGUUGGUUGAAAUCUGGGUUCAUGGCCGACUUCGCCGUGAUAAAAUGGUGGAUGAGCCACGCUCGAGACCAAUCACGUGCGAGCCGGUCAGUUCUGGACCCAUCGACGACCCUUUGCGUGCACGCACGCUCCCAACGAGACCUCAGGUCAGGCGGGGCUACCCGCUGAGUUUAA